rnacentral:rRNA from 1 species
GACGAACGCUGUCGGCGUGCCUAAUACAUGCAAGUCGAACGAGUGGCGGACGGGUGAGGAAUGUAUGGGGAUCUGCCCGAUAGAGGGGGAUAACUGCUGGAAACGGUGGCUAAUACCGCAUACUUUCGGUUGAUCCCACAUGGGAUUAGCUAGUAGGUGGGGUACAGGCUCACCUAGGCGACGAUCUCUAGCUGGUCUGAGAGUAUGAUCGGCGCGAAUGUGACAGAGAAACGGCCCAGAGUCCUCCGGUAGGGAGGGAUGGGGAAUAGUGCACGAUGGGCGCAAGCCUGAUGCAGCCAUGCCGCGUGGAUGAAGAAGGCCUUAGGGUUGUAAAGUACUUUCAGCGGGGAGGCGUUACCCGCAGAGGAAGCACCGGCUAACUCCGUGCCAGCCGCCGCGGUAAUUC